UGACCUCGGAUCAGGUAGAUACC
rnacentral:rRNA from 1 species